GGGGCUUGGGGUCGCCGCCUCGUUUGUGCGUAGUGCGACCGGUGCUACCUUCCGGAAGGCUUUUUUCCCCGUCUGGUUGUGCAUCCACCUCUCUCUUUCCCAGGGUCGGGAGCAUGUGGUCCGCUCUGAGCCACGGGUGUAACUCAGAGGACUUGAGACCUCGAGUUCUUUAGUCGCCAGCUGAGGAAGACGCAUUUCAGUUGAGACUAGUCACAUUUCCAGUGCUGAGAAGCAGGCCUUGGCCAGUGUGGCUGCAGGUGCCUGAGGAGUACAGAGUGGCAUAAGACGCAGCGGAAGAGACAGGAUCCAGUCCAGGACACUACAUUGCAUUAGUUGUUACAUUUCCAUAGUCUCCACUGGUUCAUGAUAGUUUCCCAGUCUUGUUUUUCAUGACCUUGAUCGUUUUGAGCAGUACUGAAUCAGGUGAAGGAGGAACACCCUGACAUUCAUCUCCCGGGGAAUGGUCUCUCUACCCUGCAUCCACAUGGUGAAGCACUAUAGAAGAUUCUCCCCAUGGGUCAGCUUCUCUCCAGUGCCAGACUCCUCAAAGAAAUGAUACCACCCAAAUCAUCUUGCAAACCACAUGGAAAAUUGAAAAGGAGAUGACUUUCUGCAUAAAAGCAAGAAAAUGGAAAAGACUGAGGCUCAUUAUAUACCUUGUUUCGGUGAUCUUUAUACAUGCAUCUUGUGCCUAUUGCUGAAGAAUGGACACCUUGAAGUGAUACUUCAUUUGAAGUGGUCAAAUGGGCAAAGGAAACAUCCUCUUGACAGCCACAAGCUUUCAUAAUGGCAUCCCCGUGACAAUGAACACAUUUCUACCAGGUCAAGCUUGCCUACCUGAUCCUGUCUUCUCAGUAUCUUCUUUGAACAACUUCAUGUGGUUGAAUUCCUGGCAGUGCAAUCAUGCUAUUUAUCAAAAGAAACACUGGACAAUCACAGUGGACUUCAGUGCUGUGUCCUGAGCCAUCAUCUGGCCAACUCUCGGCAAGAAACUUCUUUGUUCUUUAGAGACUGAGCUCUAUCCCCAAGCACUAACAGAAUCGAGAUGGAAGAAGUUGGAAUUCUUCAUCUUGGUGCUGUGACACAGUGAGGUUCCUGCUCCCAGGAAGCUGAACCCUGGCCUUGAGAUACAUGGUGGCCCUCUCAAGCUCCUCCUACUCACCCACAUCACCAUGCUUUGCGUCUCCAUCCAGAAUGUGUUCUUCGAGGACAGUAACUCCCACAGGCAAAGCAGCAUCUGGCUGUGUGGGUGAUCUAUUCUUCAGCCUCUCAAAGUUGUGUAGGU